rnacentral:rRNA from 1 species
UACGUAGGGAGCGAGCGUUAUCCGGAAUUAUUGGGCGUAAAGGGAGCGUAGGCGGACUGGAAAGUCAGCGGUAAAAUCGAGAGGCUCAACCUCUUUCCGCCGUUGAAACUGUCGGUCUUGAGUGGGCGAGAAGUAUGCGGAAUGCGUGGUGUAGCGGUGAAAUGCAUAGAUAUCACGAAGAACUCCGAUUGCGAAGGCAGCUCACUGGACUGCAACUGACACUGAGGCUCGAAAGUGUGGGUAUCAAACAGG